rnacentral:rRNA from 1 species
GACGUAGGAGGCGAGCGUUGUCCGGAUUCAUUGGGCGUAAAGAGCGUGUAGGCGGCUAGGUAGGUCCGUUGUGAAAACUCGAGGCUCAACCUCGAGACGUCGAUGGAAACCAUCUAGCUAGAGUCCGGAAGAGGAGAGUGGAAUUCCUGGUGUAGCGGUGAAAUGCGCAGAUAUCAGGAAGAACACCCGUGGCGAAGGCGGCUCUCUGGUACGUGACUGACGCUGAGACGCGAAAGCGUGGGGAGCGAACAGG